AUGGAUUCCAACUUCAAACAACAACCUAAAUUUAUGUAUUUGCUCGCGUGCAUCAACCCAAUUGGUCCAUCUGGACGCAAUACUUGUGUACAGUUAUUACGAAUGGGAUCCCAUAUUUGCCAGAAUCCCUAUUUAAGCUCAUGCAUCCCCUACAGAACUCCUCACAAGUACAACCACUUAGCAAGUCCAUCCAUCUCAUCAUCUACAUCUGAGCUCAGCACUACUACUAUUGCUAGCUUGAUCAAGAUGGCCCGUGCUGCAGCUGCUCAACUCGUGUUGUUCACCCUCGUGGCAGCAAUGGUCCUCACAGCCACAGACGCUGCAAUCUCCUGUGGCCAGGUGAGCUCUGCCUUGAGCCCCUGCAUCUCCUAUGCACGCGGCAGCGGCUCCAGCCCACCUGCGGCCUGCUGCAGUGGUGUCAGGAGUCUGGCCGGCGCAGCGCGGAGCACCGCUGACAAGCAAGCGGCGUGCAAGUGCAUUAAGAGUGCUGCUGGUGGGCUCAACGCUGGAAAGGCCGCAGGCAUCCCCUCCAAGUGCGGCGUCAGCAUCCCCUACGCCAUUAGCUCAUCCGUGGACUGCUCUAAGAUUCGCUGA
rnacentral:rRNA from 1 species